AUUGAACGCUGGCGGCAGGCCUAACACAUGCAAGUCGAGCGGAUGAAGGGAGCUUGCUCCUGGAUUCAGCGGCGGACGGGUGAGUAAUGCCUAGGAAUCUGCCUGGUAGUGGGGGAUAACGUCCGGAAACGGGCGCUAAUACCGCAUACGUCCUGAGGGAGAAAGUGGGGGAUCUUCGGACCUCACGCUAUCAGAUGAGCCUAGGUCGGAUUAGCUAGUUGGUGGGGUAAAGGCCUACCAAGGCGACGAUCCGUAACUGGUCUGAGAGGAUGAUCAGUCACACUGGAAAUGAGAUACGGUCCAGACUCCUACGGGAGGCAGCAGUGGGGAGUAUUGGACGAUGGGCGAAAGCCUGAUCCAGCCAUGCCGCGGGGGUGAAGAAGGUCUUCGGAUUGUAAAGCUCUUUAAGUUGGGAGGAAGGGCAGUAAGUUAAUACCUUGCUGUUUAGACGUUACCAACAGAAUAAGCACCGGCUAACUUCGUG
rnacentral:rRNA from 1 species